GUCCUAGCUGUAAACGGUGCUUAUUUGCUGUAAAAGGAAUCGACCCCUUUUGUGGCGUAGCAAACGCGUUAAAUAAGCCGCCUGGGAAGUACGGUCGCAAGAUUAAAACUCAAAGAAAUUGACGGGGGCCUGCACAAGCGGUGGAGUAUGUGGCUUAAUUCGAUGCAACGCGAAGAACCUUACCUGGCCUUGACAUGCAAGUAGUAGAAGGAUGAAAGUCUGACGAUCCCGCAAGGGAAGCUUGCACAGGUGCUGCAUGGCUGUCGU
rnacentral:rRNA from 1 species